rnacentral:rRNA from 1 species
GACGAACGCUGGCGGCGUGCCUAAUACAUGCAAGUUGAGCGCUGAAGGUUGGUACUUGUACCAACUGGAUGAGCAGCGAACGGGUGAGUAACGCGUGGGGAAUCUGCCUUUGAGCGGGGGACAACAUUUGGAAACGAAUGCUAAUACCGCAUAAAAACUUUAAACACAAGUUUUAAGUUUGAAAGAUGCAAUUGCAUCACUCAAAGAUGAUCCCGCGUUGUAUUAGCUAGUUGGUGAGGUAAAGGCUCACCAAGGCGAUGAUACAUAGCCGACCUGAGAGGGUGAUCGGCCACAUUGGGACUGAGGCACGGCCCAAACUUCUACGGGAGGCAGCAGUAGGGAAUCUUCGGCAAUGGACGAAAGUCUGACCGAGCAACGCCGCGUGAGUGAAGAAGGUUUUCGGAUCGUAAAACUCUGUUGGUAGAGAAGAACGUUGGUGAGAGUGGAAAGCUCAUCAAGUGACGGUAACUACCCAGAAAGGGACGGCUAACUACGUG